rnacentral:rRNA from 1 species
AAUUAGAUAUUAAGGUAUAAAUAUUCAUUCUUAAUUUAACUUUUUAAAACAUUUUGAAAAUUAGUAAAGGUGAUUAAAAUUUAUUUUAUCAUACCUUAGAGAAAGUACUGUGAAGGAAUAUAAGUGAAUUAUAUAAAAGAAAAAAUCAAAACUUGUACCUUUUGCAUCAUGGUUUAACUAGAUAUUUAUUUUAUAUUUAAAUGUCUCGAAAUCUAAUGAGCUAUUUUUAUUCAAUAUAUUAGAAAAUAAGGACUAAUUGUAGCAAAAAUUUUCCUAGAAAUAAAAAUAGAAAUGAAAUUUUAUUCGUAUUAGAUGAUAGCUAGUUCUUCUAAAAGGUAUAUAAGUACUUUAAAUUAAUUUUAUUUUUAUAAUAAAAAAAUAAAAUAAACUUUAAUUUAGUUAAAUUUUUGAGGAUAAGCUCGAAAAUUAUGAUCAUGUCUACAUAUUAUUUUAAUUAAAAUUUAAGCUUGAAAAUAGCUAUAAUUUUGAUUUUGUUACAAUUUCAUUAAAUAUAUAAAAAAAAAAUUGAUUUGUUUAAUAGUAAGUGAAGAAAACUUUAAAACUAAAAUAAGUUGAACCUAUGUUAAAAUGAGUAUUAAAUUAAUUUAUGAAUCUUUAAUGUUGUAUAGUUUGAAGCUAACGUUUUUAUAUUAAUUUUUAAAUCAUAAAAAGGAACUCGGCAAAUACACAUUCUGCCUGUUUAGCAAAAACAUGGCUCCUUGUCAAAAGCAAAUAGGGAGUCGGACCUGCCCAGUGAAUUUUUUUAACGGCCGCGGUACUCUGACCGUGCAAAGGUAGCAUAAUCAUUUGCCUUAUAAUUGAAGGCUAGUAUGAAUGGUUUGACAAGAAUGUAGCUGUCUCUUUGUGAUUUAAUAGAAUUUUAUCUUCAGGUGAAGAAGCCUGUAUUAAAUUAAAAGACAAGAAGACCCUAUCGAGCUUGAAAGAAAUUAGUGGAUUAAUAAGUUAAUAUGUUUAAAAAACUGACCAUUAAAAAUUUUAGUUGGGGCGACUGAGGAACAAAAAAAGCUUCCUUUAUACUUUAGAGACGUACGAGUGUUGAUCCAAACCAUUUUGAUUAAAGAAAUUAGUUACCGUAGGGAUAACAGCAUUAUCUUUUUUAAGAGUUCUUAUCGAAAAAAAGGUUUGUGACCUCGAUGUUGGACCAGAAUAUCCUAAAGAUGCAGCAGUCUUUAAGGGUUGGUCUGUUCGACCAUUAAAAUUCUACGUGAUCUGAGUUCAGACCGGCGUGAGCCAGGUCAGUUUCUAUCUUUAAUUUUUAAAAUAGACUUAGUACGAAAGGACCAGUUUAUUGUAAGUUAUUGCUAAAAAUGAUAUUAUAUAAUAUAUAGUUCAA